CAUAAACACGAUACAUACCGAUGAGACGUGUGCUCUCGUGACUUCUGAGGAACGUAGUGUUCCAGAGUAAACGGCAGGAGCCUCAGUGGGCGGAGCCCCCGAAAACCAGGCACCUGAAGACCGAAAGAAACAGACUUUACAUGAGAUUUAGAGGCUGCACAGUGAAGAGGAGCACUCAGACUGUGUGUCCAUAGUGUUGGAUAGGAAGCAGUGAUGAGCACCAUUAAAGAGGUUCUCCUCAGAGAGCUGAAGAAGCUGAAAGCAGAGGAGUUCAAUGACUUCAAGUUCUACCUACAGGAGUAUGGCUGCAAAGCCAAGGCAGCUCUUAGUAAGGAUGACACUGUGCUGGCAAUCCCACCCUGCGACUUAGAGAACGCAGAUAGACGGAAAACGGUGGAGCUGCUUGUCCAGACGUACAGCGAUCAGCCUCUGCGUGUGGCUCAGGAGGUGUUUAAUAUGGUGGGCCGGAACGACCUGACAGAGAGUCUGGCACAGAGCAUGAGCAGUGCAGGCCCGAUGCAGCUUAACACCAACAAUAUGCAGUAACAAUGACCACACAUCUGCAUAUCCAGGACCAGCCUAUUGAGUAUACAAACCAAAUCUAAACAUGCAGUCACAAUAGAGAUUCUUGGUUAGUUUUUUUUAUAUUGUUGGGAAUUCAUCUACAAAUAAAGAAGAUUUAUAAAAGUGCCUCGCCUUCA
rnacentral:lncRNA from 1 species